AGACUCAAAAGCUGAACCAACAUCUACCCAUUCGCUAUUUCUAAAAGAUCCCAAUUAUCCCAUUAGUGAAGAUAUGAUUGGUGACUAGCCCAAUUGUCAUCAGAGAGAAUUCAUCCUGCAACUGAAAGAAACAGAUACUGAAACCCACAGCUAAACAGGAGGCUGAGCUCAGAGAAUCUUCUGGAAGAGAGAUAGAAGAAGGAUUUAUAGGUGCAAGGUGAGUCACAGACACCACAGAAAAACCCAUAUAUUCAACUCACCUGGGUUCAUAGGGGCUCACAGAGACUUGAACACCAAGCAGGGAGCAUGAAUGCAAUUGACCUAGGCCUUCUGCUCUGUUAUGCAUAUGAUACAGUUGUGUAACUUGGUUUUCUUAUGGGACACCUAACAAUGGGGUAGGGGCUGUCUCUGACAUGUUUGGGACCCUUUU
rnacentral:lncRNA from 1 species